rnacentral:sRNA from 1 species
AGCUAAUGCUUCCGUCUUGGCCCCCUUGCGAGCGCUCGGGUUGAGUUUCCCGGGCUUCCCUGACUCGGCUACCUGUUCUGGAGGUCAGGCUUUGGGCCCUUGCAGAGGUCGCCGGGGAGCGCGCGCCGCCGCCAGAGCCUGGGCCCAGUCCCCAGUCUUCAGAGACGCACUCGACCUUCCUGCUCCGAAGAGCUGGCCUGAUGCCCUCGGGUCGCGCUCCGCAGGUUCUUACUUUUCCAAACCUAGAGGGCAGUGCAUGAAGCCAGGGGUCAUCAGCCAUGCUCCAGACAGUGUGGUUCCAGGGCUUGAGCAGGAACCUGUUGUUUCAGGAGCCAGUAACCUUUGAGGAUGUGGCUGUGUACUUCACCCAGAAUGAAUGGGCCAGCCUGCACCCUACGCAGAGGGCCCUAUACAGGGGGGUGAUGCUGGAGAAUUAUGCAAAUGUGACUUCCUUGUGUAAGUCCUCCUUCCUCUCUGAAACUCAGCUUCUGCCCUUGGGGGCUCCUAGAUUCCUCCUUAGCGGAACUAGGAUCUCUUUAAUACCAUCAGAAUUGAUGCCCUAUGGGCU